AAACAUCGCCUCUUGCACAAAUAAGAGGUCCCGCCUGCCCUGUGACCUUAGUGUUUAACGGCCGCGGUAUCUUGACCGUGCGAAGGUAGCGCAAUCACUUGUCUUUUAAAUGGAGACCCGUAUGAAUGGCUUAACGAGGGCUUAACUGUCUCCUCUUUCCAGUCAAUGAAAUUGAUCUCCCCGUGCAGAAGCGGGGAUAAUAACAUAAGACGAGAAGACCCUAUGGAGCUUUAGACACCAAGGCGGACCAUGUUACUUAAACCCUCAUACAGGACUAAACAGGAUGUCCCCCGCCCUAAUGUCUUUGGUUGGGGCGACCGCGGGGCAAUAAAAAACCCCCAUGUGGAACGGAGUAACUCCUAAGACUAGAGCGACAGCUCUAAUAAACAGUAUAUCUGACCAAUAAGACCCGGCUUUUACCGAUCAACGGACCAAGUUACCCUAGGGAUAACAGCGCAAUCCCCUUCUAGAGCCCAUAUCAACAAGGGGGUUUACGACCUCGAUGUUGGAUCAGGACAUCCUAAAGGUGCAG
rnacentral:rRNA from 1 species